GGGGUUGAGGCUCAGUGGUAGAGCACCUGCCUAGCAUGCAUGAGACACUGGGUCCAAUUCUAAGCACCUCA
rnacentral:tRNA from 1 species